rnacentral:rRNA from 1 species
GGAGAAAGCAGGGGAUCGCAAGACCUUGCGCUUUUGGAGCGGCCGAUGCCUGAUUAGCUUGUUGGUGAGGUAAAAGCUCACCAAGGCUUCGAUCAGUAGCUGGUCUGAGAGGACGACCAGCCACACUGGGACUGAGACACGGCCCAGACUCCUACGGGAGGCAGCAGUGGGGAAUUUUGGACAAUGGGGGCAACCCUGAUCCAGCCAUGCCGCGUGAGUGAAGAAGGCCUUCGGGUUGUAAAGCUCUUUCAGCCGGAACGAAACGGUUACGGUUAAUACCCGUGACUACUGACGGUACCGGAAGAAGAAGCACCGGCUAACUACGUGCCAGCAGCCGCGGUAAUACGUAGGGUGCAAGCGUUAAUCGGAAUUACUGGGCGUAAAGCGUGCGCAGGUGGUUUUGUAAGUCAGAUGUGAAAUCCCCGGGCUUAACCUGGGAACUGCGUUUGAAACUACAAAGCUAG